ACCAUGGCUAAGAAAAAAAGCUUCCUUGGUAUCAUGGAAAGUUUGAGGUAUUGUUUUCCUUUCAUCCUACUCCAGCAGUUUGUGGGUUUCGUACAAAAGAGGCACGUGUUCUAAUUCCAGAAACUGGUUUGUGAUUACGGUCUGCCUCCGUCAAUUAACAAUAGUAUUAAGAAGCAUUGGCCAAGUUGUUCCUUGAAAUAAGCAUUGGCCCAUGAAUGAGCCUUAUGGAAAUUGUAGCCUUAUGGAAGAGGAAUUAAAAUUGUUUGGUUUAUUUUUAGUUUAUGUGCAUGUAUAAAGAAUCCUUGACUUUCAGAUUUGAUUUUAUUUAGCUAAUAGUGCAAU